ensembl:lncRNA
GCCAUAUUCUCGCUUCCUUCUGGAAGGACACUUCGGCGUUACGUUAGCGCACGUGUGGGAUAUUUCUCUCCUGGCUUCCUACAGGGAAUCAUCUCCCAAAUGGGAGUCAUCGCCGCCACCAUGACCCCUGUGGAGAGGAUGUGUAUGCUCGUCCUGGACGAGAUGUCAAUCAAAAAACAAUUUGAUUAUGAUCGCAAGAACGAUGCCAUUUAUGGUGUAUCUGCAUCUGGGGCUGCAGCAAAACAAGCGAUGGUCGUCAUGGCUAGGGGCAUUAUGGGGAAAUGGAAGCAGACGGUGGGUUACUUAUUUUCCUCAUCUU